GUGUCAGCAGCCGCGGUAAUACGGAGGGUGCAAGCAUUGAUCGGAAUUACUGGGCGUAAAGGGCGCGUAGGCGGUUAGGUAAGUCAGAUGUGAAAUUCCGGGGCUCAACCCCGGAGCUGCAUUUGAAACUCCCUAGCUAGAGUUCAGUUAGGGUAAACGGAAUUCCACGUGUAGCGGUGAAAUGCGUAGAUAUGUGGAAGAACACCGGUGGUGAAGACGGUUUACUGGGCUGAGACUGACGCUGAGGCGCGAAAGCAUGGGGAGCAAACAGGAUUAGAAACCCGGGUAGUCC
rnacentral:rRNA from 1 species